rnacentral:rRNA from 1 species
GAUGAACGCUGGCGGCGUGCUUAACACAUGCAAGUCGAACGAAGCACCUCAUUUUUUUUCCUUCGGUCCUGAUUCUUUUGUGACUGAGUGACGGACGGGUGCGUACCGCGUGUGUAACCUGCCUUGUACAGGCGGAUGACAGUUGGAAACGGCUGCUACUACUGCAUAAGCGCACGGCAUCGCAUUCGGCAGUGUGAAACGGUCCGGUGGAAUAGGAUGGACCCGCGUUGGUUUUGCUAGGGGGUGAGGUAGCAGCCCACCUAGGCGACGAUCCAUAGCCGACGGGAGAGGCUGACAGGUCACAAUUGGACUGAGACACGGACCAAACUCCGACGCGAGGGAGCAGAGGGGAAUAUAGCACAAGGGGCGAAAACGUGAUGAAGCGACGUGGGGUGAGCGGAGAAGUAUUUUGGGAUGCAAAGCUCUAUCAGAAGAGGAGAGAGUGACGGUACCUGGUUAAGAAGCACCGGCUAACUACGUG